rnacentral:tRNA from 1 species
GGGGAUAUAGCUCAGUUGGUAGAGUGCUUGCCUCUCAUGUACAAGGCCCUGGGUUCGAUUCCCCAGCAACCCCC